rnacentral:rRNA from 1 species
GACAGAGGGGGCAAGCGUUGCUCGGAAUUACUGGGCGUAAAGGGCGCGUAGGCGGGAUGGCAAGUCGGUCGUGAAAUCCUUCGGCUCAACCGAAGAACGUCGAUCGAUACUGCUGUUCUUGAGGGUUGCAGAGGAGACUGGAAUUCCCGGUGUAGCGGUGAAAUGUGUAGAGAUCGGGAGGAACACCGGUGGCGAAGGCGGGUCUCUGGGCCGAUACUGACGCUGAGGAGCGAAAGCGUGGGGAGCGAACAGG